GGUUGCUGCUUACAAUGCAACAACCAGUGACACAGAGGAGGGCAGCUCGGAUAAAGCAGCGCAUACAGAGAGAAAAAUAACAGACUGGAAGAAGUCUGCUGUGUCAACGGCAGUUAACCACCAAAGAGGCUUUGCUGCGUUACCAGCAGCUCUCUGACCUCUACAAGGCUUCAUUAAGGACCAAGGGCACAGGCUUGGGUAUUAAAGGAAGCUCUCAUAUGAACUCUCAGCAUCUGAAACCUACAAGGAUGCUAUUCAUAAGGCCACAUUCUCACACUUCACUGAGAUAGAGUGAACUGGAGAGAGGGAAAGUGAUCAUACUGACCCAAGAAGUAUUAAUUACUGUUUGUGGUCAAAUGAUCCUACUGUGAAAAGGAUGCCCUGUAGGGGAGAGUGGGGUGAGUUGAGCCAGUUUUUACUUGAGGUGAGGACAUGACAGUAAUGUCUCCACUUAAAAUAUGUACAUAUUUUUUAGGAUGAAGUGCAUCCCUGGGAAUGAUCAAUUUGAUUCUAAAAUAAACAGUUUUCAAAAUGGCUUUCUAAAAAAAAAGAAAAAAAAAGUGGACUCUUGGCUCAACUUGCCCUAUGAGGAGUAAGCCAUGGGAGAGGAUAAGUUGAGCCACAUGGGGGUCGGGGACAUCAUUGUCAUUUCAUCAUGCAAACUCAUGUCAACGCCACGUCCCAACAUUCAAUUGGACUUAGUGAAACAUUGCAGCUAUGUCUCCUAGUUGUUUCAUAUAAAUGUAUUGCUUCAAAGUCAUCCGGUUGAUCGUCAUGUCCUGUGCCAUCUGAUGUAUGGACUUCGCAUUUUUGUACAUCUCCCACUACUCUGUCCAAAUCCACAAGAGGAGUUGAAGCCUGUCUGUUUUCCAUUUAUAGAAGCAUGACAUGAUGGUUUCUGGUCUAAGAUGCAUAAUGUCACAUAAUUUCGGUGAUGACUAAAAAUGCAAUGUAAAAUUACAGUCAAGUAUCUGGCUCAACUUGCCCCAGGUCUUUUGGCUCAAAUUACUCCAUCCCUGCCAUUUUAACAAAAUUGUGUCAUCCUGCAGUUUAAGGGUAACGUCAUGCUAACAAUAUAGCCUCAUAUUGUAACUUCCUAAAGCACUAACACGUGUAAAAUUUCAACAUUAAAAAAAAAAAAAAUUUUACUUUGAAUGGCAAAAAACUGUUUUUUGAUCUUAAAUGUGCUUAUCACUUAUUCCAUGGGCCUCUCUUCAUCACAGGGUGAGUAAAAUAGAUGACUCUUCAAAAAUGUGUAGUCACAUGACAAAUUUUGUCUAUGGCUGCCGAGAAACAAGGGGGGGCUCAACUUCCCCACAGGCUCAAAUCAUCCCGCUUUCCCCUACAGACUUAAACAGUAAUUUCUAUUUUCUCACAUUUUGUUUUAUAUAUGUAACUAUAUGUAGCCUCUGCCAUAAGUGUAUGAAUGUGUGUAAAUAGGUUUGUUGAAUGUGGCAUGUAUUGUAAAGCACUCUGAGUGGUCAGAAGACUAGUGAGGCGCUAUGUAAUCCAUUUACCAUCCACAAUAGUUUUCUUCCUUUUCUAUGCACACACUUCAAAUGAGGUUAUUAAAUCUGCUGUUGUUCAUGUC